rnacentral:tRNA from 1 species
CAGAAAAUAGUUUAAAUAAAAUAUUAAUUUUGGAGAUUAUUGUUAAAGGUAUUUAUCUUUUUUUCUGA